UCGAUAGAGGCGCGGGGUCCAUCAGUACCGUCGUCGAGCCUGUCCGGAGGCAUUGACGCGACGGGAAAGGGGGUUUCGCCGAAGCCCGCUGUCGUCGGAGCGACUGCAGGUUGGGGGAUCGCAGAAUAUGCGGUUCACUGUCAUAGCCUUUCAUGGUUAUGGAGCGCUAUCU
rnacentral:ncRNA from 1 species